UACGUAGGGUGCAAGCGUUGUCCGGAAUCAUUGGGCGUAAAGCGCGCGUAGGUGGCUUCGUAAGUCCGUUGUGAAAGUCAAAGGCUCAACCUUUGAAUGCCGAUGGAUACUGCGAAGCUAGAGUACGGAAGAGGCGAGUGGAAUUCCUGGUGUAGCGGUGGAAUGCGCAGAUAUCAGGAGGAACACCAAUAGCGAAGGCAGCUCGCUGGGACGGUACUGACGCUGAGGCGCGAAAGCGUGGGGAGCGAACAGG
rnacentral:rRNA from 1 species